CUACGGGCCGCUGCAGUGGGGAAUAUUGGACAAUGGGGGAAACCCUGAUCCAGCAAUGCCGCGUGUGUGAAGAAGGCCUGCGGGUUGUAAAGCACUUUCGGUUGGGAGGACUGCUUCUAGCACUAAUAUUGUUGGAAGUUGACGUUACCUUCAGAAGAAGCACCGGCUAACUCCGUGCCAGCAGCCGCGGUAAUACGGAGGGGUGCAAGCGUUAAUCGGAAUUACUGGGCGUAAAGCGCGCGUAGGCGGCUAGAUCAGUCGGGUGUGAAAGCCCCGGGCUUAACCUGGGAACUGCAUCCGAUACUGUCUAGCUUGAGUACAGGAGAGGAGAGUGGAAUUCCACAUGUAGCGGUGAAAUGCGUAGAUAUGUGGAGGAACACCAAUGGCGAAGGCAGCUCUCUGGCCUGAUACUGACGCUGAGGUGCGAAAGCGUGGGGAGCAAACAGGAUUAGAUACCCCUGUAGUC
rnacentral:rRNA from 1 species